ACGGAAGGCAGCAGUCGGGAAUAUUGCGCAAUGGAGGAAACUCUGACGCAGUGACGCCGCGUAUAGGAUGAAGGUUUUCGGAUUGUAAACUAUUGUCGUUAGGGAAGAUACAAGACAGUACCUAAGGAGGAAGCUCCGGCUAACUACGUGCCAGCAGCCGCGGUAAUACGUAGGGAGCAAGCGUUAUCCGGAUUUAUUGGGUGUAAAGGGUGCGUAGACGGGAAGACAAGUUAGUUGUGAAAUCCCUCGGCUUAACUGAGGAACUGCAACUAAAACUAUCUUUCUUGAGUGCGGGAGAGGAAAGUGGAAUUCCUAGUGUAGCGGUGAAAUGCGUAGAUAUUAGGAGGAACACCAGUGGAGAAGGCGACUUUCUGGACCGUAACUGACGUUGAGGCACGAAAGUGUGGGGAGCAAACAGGAUUAGAUACC
rnacentral:rRNA from 1 species